rnacentral:rRNA from 1 species
GACGAACGCUGGCGGCGUGCUUAACACAUGCAAGUCGAACGAUGAAGCGGGUGCUUGCACUCGUGGAUUAGUGGCGAACGGGCGAGUAACACGUGAGUAACCUGUCCUUUUCUUUGGGAUAACGGCUGGAAACGGCGGCUAAUACUGGAUAUUCAGGCUGCAUCGCAUGGGGGGGUUGGGAAAGGUUUUUUCUGGGAGUGGGUGGGCUCGCGGCCUAUCAGCUUGUUGGGGGGGUGGUGGCUUACCUAGGCGUUGACGGGGAGGCGGCCUGGGAGGGUGGGCGGUCGCGCUGGCACUGACAUACGGACCGGACUCCUACGGGGGGCAGCAGUGGGGAAAAUUGCGCGAUAGACGAAAGUAUGAUGCGGCGACGCCGCGUGGAGGGUCGCGUCCUUCGGGUUGUGCACUCCUUUGUCUCGCGAAAAAGGCACAGAUUUGGCUGUGUUGAUGGUAAUGGGGAAAGAAGCGCCGGCUAACUACGUG